UUGGUUUUAGGUUGGAAGCC
rnacentral:siRNA from 1 species